GGCGGCAGGCCUAACACAUGCAAGUCGAGCGGUAACAGAAAGUAGCUUGCUACUUUGCUGACGAGCGGCGGACGGGUGAGUAAUGCUUGGGAACAUGCCUUGAGGUGGGGGACAACAGUUGGAAACGACUGCUAAUACCGCAUAAUGUCUACGGACCAAAGGGGGCUUCGGCUCUCGCCUUUAGAUUGGCCCAAGUGGGAUUAGCUAGUUGGUGAGGUAAUGGCUCACCAAGGCGACGAUCCCUAGCUGGUUUGAGAGGAUGAUCAGCCACACUGGGACUGAGACACGGCCCAGACUCCUACGGGAGGCAGCAGUGGGGAAUAUUGCACAAUGGGCGCAAGCCUGAUGCAGCCAUGCCGCGUGUGUGAAGAAGGCCUUCGGGUUGUAAAGCACUUUCAGUCAGGAGGAAAGGUUAGUAGUUAAUACCUGCUAGCUGUGACGUUACUGACAGAAGAAGCACCGGCUAACUCCGUGCCAGCAGCCGCGGUAAUACGGAGGGUGCGAGCGUUAAUCGGAAUUACUGGGCGUAAAGCGUACGCAGGCGGUUUGUUAAGCGAGAUGUGAAAGCCCCGGGCUCAACCUGGGAACUGCAUUUCGAACUGGCAAACUAGAGUGUGAUAGAGGGUGGUAGAAUUUCAGGUGUAGCGGUGAAAUGCGUAGAGAUCUGAAGGAAUACCGAUGGCGAAGGCAGCCACCUGGGUCAACACUGACGCUCAUGUACGAAAGCGUGGGGAGCAAACGGGAUUAGAUACCCCGGUAGUCCACGCCGUAAACGAUGUCUACUAGAAGCUCGGAGCCUCGGUUCUGUUUUUCAAAGCUAACGCAUUAAGUAGACC
rnacentral:rRNA from 1 species